GCAUGGACAGUUUAUGGGGGGUUGGGUCGUGGGACCGUUUUGGAGUGGUGACUGGCUUGUACAUUGGUUUUCUAUGGGCAGUGGUGCGGAGUUCUUUACCAUGCGGAUCCGGGCCCGUGUCCAAAAAAUGCGUCUUCGUUCUACGGUCUGUUUGUGUUUGGAAGGCGCCUGAGGAUGUCGAUGUCACGUGCUUGUCGGACGGGUCUGUUGGUGUUUUGGGGUUCAGGUUUUCGUUUUAGCUGGAAUUGCACCCCUGCUAAUUCCCUGAGGUAAUUACUGAUCUAUUUACUUGUCUUCUGUAGUAUGACAAAUUUUUGGAAUUACAUUUUAUAGAAUAAAAU
rnacentral:lncRNA from 1 species